GCUGGCAUGGCUCAGUGGUUGAGCAUCUACCUGAGAACCAGAAGGUCAUGGUUCGAUUCCUGGUCAGGGCA
rfam:Myotis lucifugus cont2.6009, whole genome shotgun sequence.